rnacentral:rRNA from 1 species
GAUGAACGCUAGCUACAGGCUUAACACAUGCAAGUCGAGGGGAAACGAUAGAGAAAGCUUGCUUUUUCUAGGCGUCGACCGGCGCACGGGUGAGUAACGCGUAUCCAACCUGCCCAUCACUUGGGGAUAACCUUGCGAAAGUAAGACUAAUACCCAAUGACGUCUCUAGAAGACAUCUGAAAGAGAUUAAAGAUUUAUCGGUGAUGGAUGGGGAUGCGUAUGAUUAGCUUGUUGGCGGGGUAACGGCCCACCAAGGCGACGAUCAGUAGGGGUGCUGAGAUGAAGGUCCCCCACAUUGGAACUCCGGCCCGGACCAAACUCCUACGGGAGGCAGCAAUGAGGUAUAUUCGUCAAGGGACGAAAGUCUGACCCAGCCAAGUGGCGUGCAGGAUGACGGCCCUAUGUGUUGUAAACUGCUUUUAUAAGGGAAUAAAGUGAGAGUCGUGACUCUUUUUGCACGUACCUUAUGAAUAAGGACCGGCUAAUUCCGUGCCAGCAGCCGCGGUAA